ACAUAACUGAUGCCUCCGCGUAUCGAUUUUGUGCGCAUUUUAGCUAUUAUGUGUUCUUUUAAUUAAAAUGAUUCUUUUUAAGAUUCAUCUAUUAAAAAUUUGCUUCGGCAUAAUUUUUUUUGAUGAUCUUGUUACUUUGAGUAAAUUAGAGUGUUCAAAGCAAACAGAUAUAGCAUUUGUGCGUUUGAAUACUACAGCAUGGAAUAACAAAAUUGAACAAGUCAGAAUUUUUUUGUUCUUUUUUCUUAUUUUGGCUUAGUUACGAUUAAUAGGAGUAGCUUGGGGGCAUUUGUAUUCAGAUGUCAGAGGUGAAAUUCUUAGAUUUUCUGGAGACAAACAACUGCGAAAGCAUUUGCCUAAAAUACUUCCAUUAAUCAAGAACGAAAGUUAAGGGAGUGAAGACGAUCAGAUACCGUCGUAAUCUUAACCAUAAACUAUGCCGACUAGGCUUUGGAUGAAAGAUUUUAAAAUAAGAGUUUUUCUUUUCUCUCCGGAGAUUAGAACUCUUAGAUUGCUUCCUUCAGUGCCUUAUGAGAAAUCAAAGUCUUUGGGUUCUGGGGCGAGUAUUCGCGCAAGCGAGAAAGUUAAAAGAAUUGACGGAAGGGCACCACCAGGCGUGGAGCUUGCGGCUUAAUUUGACUCAACACGGGAAAACUCACUAGUUUAAGACAAGAGUAGGAUUGACAGAUUAAUAGCUCUUUCUUGAUUUCUUGGAUGGUGAUGCAUGGCCGUUUUUAGUUCGUGAAUAUGAUUUGUCUGGUUAAUUCCGAUAACGAACGAGAUCUUAACCUGCUAAUUAGCGGCAAAUACGAUAUAUUCUUAUGUAGAAUUGAAUAUAGUGGAUUUGUUGGAUUUUGAAGAAGAUAUGGAAUUACGUUAAAUGUGAUUCCUUUCCCUUUUCUACUUAAUUUACAUUUCCAUCUAUUUCUUUUUUGCGUAUGAAUGUAUUUGCUUGAUUGUAAAGCUUCUUAGAGGAACGAUGUGUG
rnacentral:rRNA from 1 species